GAACCUUACCUGGUCUUGACAUCCACAGAAGAAUCCAGAGAUGGAUUUGUGCCUUCGGGAACUGUGAGACAGGUGCUGCAUGGCUGUCGUCAGCUCGUGUUGUGAAAUGUUGGGUUAAGUCCCGCAACGAGCGCAACCCUUAUCCUUUGUUGCCAGCGGUCCGGCCGGGAACUCAAAGGAGACUGCCAGUGAUAAACUGGAGGAAGGUGGGGAUGACGUCAAGUCAUCAUGGCCCUUACGACCAGGGCUACACACGUGCUACAAUGGCGCAUACAAAGAGAAGCGACCUCGCGAGAGCAAGCGGACCUCAUAAAGUGCGUCGUAGUCCGGAUUGGAGUCUGCAACUCGACUCCAUGAAGUCGGAAUCGCUAGUAAUCGUGGAUCAGAAUGCCACGGUGAAUACGUUCCCGGGCCUUGUACACACCGCCCGUCACACCAUGGGAGUGGGUUGCAAAAGAAGUAGGUAGCUUAACCUUCGGGAGGGCGCUUACCACUUUGUGAUUCAUGACUGGGGUGAAGUCGUAACAAGGUAACCGUAGGGGAACCUGC
rnacentral:rRNA from 2 species